GACGAACGCUGGCGGCGUGCUUAACACAUGCAAGUCGAGCGGAGCGGCGAACGGGUGAGUAACGCGUGAGUAACUGACCCCCUCUCUGGGAUAACAGUUGGAAACGGCUGCUAAUACCGGAUAGUGGGGGCUGACUCGCGGCCUAUCAGCUUGUUGGUGGGGUAGUGGCCUACCAAGGCGACGACGGGUAGCCGGCCUGAGGAGGCGACCGGCCACAAGAGGCUGCGGGAGGGACCAAUCUCCAACAGGGGGCAGCAGGGGGGAAUAUGGCGCAGUGAGGGAAACUGUGUGGCGACGACGCCGCGUGCGUGAUGACGGCCUUCGGGUUAUAAACCGCUUUCAGCCAUGACGCGGUAGUGGCAGAAGAAGCACCGGCUAACUACGUGCCAGCAGCCGCGGUAAUUC
rnacentral:rRNA from 1 species